AUUGAACGCUGGCGGCAGGCCUAACACAUGCAAGUCGAGCGGAUGAAGGGAGCUUGCUCCUGGAUUCAGCGGCGGACGGGUGAGUAAUGCCUAGGAAUCUGCCUGGUCGUGGGGGAUAACGUCCGGAAACGGGCGCUAAUACCACAUCCGUCCUGAAGGAGAAAGUGGGGGAUCUUCGGACCUCACGCUAUCAGAUGAGCCUAGGUCGGAUUAGCUAGUUGGUGGGGUAAAGGCCCACCAAGGCGACGAUCCGUAACUGGUCUGAGAGGAUGAUCAGUCACACUGGAACUGAGACACGGUCCAGACUCCUACGGGAGGCAGCAGUGGGGAAUAUUGGACAAUGGGCGAAAGCCUGAUCCAGCCAUGCCGCGUGUGUGAAGAAGGUCUUCGGAUUGUAAAGCACUUUAAGUUGGGAGGAAGGGCAGUAAGUUAAUACCUUGCUGUUUUGACGUUACCAACAGAAUAAGCACCGGCUAACUUCGUG
rnacentral:rRNA from 1 species